UAAGUCCCGCAACGAGCGCAACCCUUAUUCUUUGUUGCCAGCGAUUUGGUCGGGAACUCAAAGGAGACUGCCGUUGAUAAAGCGGAGGAAGGUGGGGACGACGUCAAGUCAUCAUGGCCCUUACGACCAGGGCUACACACGUGCUACAAUGGCGUAUACAAAGGGAAGCGAAGGUGCGAGCUGGAGCGGAUCUCAUAAAGUACGUCUAAGUUCGGAUUGGAGUCUGCAACUCGACUCCAUGAAGUCGGAAUCGCUAGUAAUCGUAGAUCAGAAUGCUACGGUGAAUACGUUCCCGGGCCUUGUACACACCGCCCGUCACACCAUGGGAGUGGGUUGCACCAGAAGUAGAUAGCUUAACCGCGAGGGGGGCGUUUACCACGGUGUGAUUCAUGACUGGGGUGAAGUCGUAACAAGGUAACCA
rnacentral:rRNA from 1 species